UUUCAUACACCGUUUCAAUUGUCACCGACUGCGAGCCGUUGCACGCUUUUCUUUGACCCCAUAAAACCCACCCGCCGCCUCCUUCCUCCUCCGUCGUAUCCCAAACCACAGAGAGAGAGAGAGAGAGAGAGAGAGAGAGAGAGAGAGAGAGAGAAUGUCAGGGCUAACAUGCAACUCUUGCAACAAGGAGUUUCUGGACGACUCGGAGCAGAAGCUCCAUUACAAGUCCGAAUGGCACCGCUACAAUCUCAAGCGCAAGGUCCCCGAUCUUUUUCUCCUCACCUUACAAUUUUAUUUCUAGGGUUUUGCUUUGAUGUUUAUUCAUUCGAUUUAUUGCUAUUUUGAUAUGGGAAAAUCGAAAGAUUGGAAUUUCCCAAACGCUGGAUAAGAAAACGAAUUCCAUUCUUC
rnacentral:lncRNA from 1 species